rnacentral:miRNA from 1 species
AGAAAGCCUAGUUAAAUUUGAACGCCAGAGAACCAAGAGAUAAUUUCUAGGGUAAGCAUAUCCCAUGCAGCAUUUGGGACAUGCUUAUGCUAAAUAUUAUUCGUUGUUUAUCUGACAUUCAAAUUUAAUGGGGCGUUCUCU